UUAAGUCAUCAGAACUCCUAAAAGCUUAGAGGAUCACUGAAAUAGAAUAAUUCUGCCAUUCAUUGCAAUAUCAUCUUUACACUGCAAAGCUCAAUUUGUCCAGAAGUUUAGAACGUAAUUUUAUUAGUUCUAUUGAUCUUUUCUUUCUUGUUUAAUUUGACUUGGCAGACGAAUAAAAGAACUCCUCGCUCUCUUUUAGCACAACCAUGAUUUCAUAGAUGACAAUGUGAUAUCCAUCCAUUAAGCACCAAGAAAUAAUAGUUCAGAACUUAUCCCCAGUGAGUCACAAAAUCCAUAGCAAUCAACAGAACACACGCUAUUGUGCAAGGCCAAAAUGUGUUCGCCUACACAAGGAGCACCAAAUUAAUGGUUAAAAGUACUGCAGGCCAUCCCAGUAAAAUGAUCUAAAUGUAUACAAACUGUUAUAUUCUUUUAAUGGUUUGCGCACCUGUCUUUAAAAUGCAAAGUUUUAGGUCUGAUUCAUGAAAGCCUGAUAUAAAUUUCAUCUUAACAAAACUGCACUUAGCCAGCAGGGUCUUGAAUCAAUGCCUAGGCCAUCAUGAGCAGUCAACCAUCCAGUUCAAAAAGUGCAAGCAUUUGAAGCAGCAGGAAAACAAAGGAAAAGAGGAACCAAAGGCCAUACUCCAGCCCAAAGCAUUUUAUACAAAAAUUUUCAUUGAUAACUAAGCAAAAGUUGCAAGCUUCCCCAACAAAUGAUUUUUCCUUUGGACAUAUACACAAUUUUCUUGAGGGUCACUUGACAUUUAGAGGCUAAUAGCGCCACCAGAUUAUGACCAACCUGGCCUAGGUGUCUCAUGCUAGUCAUGCUGUUAUCCAUCUCGGACGCCAAACCGGCCAAAUGUGUUUCGGUGGUCAUUUACACAUAA
rnacentral:lncRNA from 1 species